rnacentral:rRNA from 1 species
CUCCACCUACGGGGGGCAGCAGUCGGGAAUAUUGCGCAAUGGAGGAAACUCUGACGCAGUGACGCCGCGUAUAGGAAGAAGGUUUUCGGAUUGUAAACUAUUGUCCACAGGGAAGAAAAAAGACUGUACCUGUGAAGAAAGCUCCGGCUAACUACGUGCCAGCAGCCGCGGUAAUACGUAGGGAGCAAGCGUUAUCCGGAUUUAUUGGGUGUAAAGGGUGCGUAGACGGGAAUACAAGUUGGUUGUGAAAGCCCUCGGCUUAACUGAGGAACUGCAACCAAAACUAUAUUUCUUGAGUAUCGGAG